rnacentral:rRNA from 1 species
CCAGCAGCCGCGGUAAUUCCAGCUCCAAUAGCGUAUAUUAAAAUUGCUGCAGUUAAAGCGUCCGUAGUUGGAUUUCGUCUGUUAGUGAUGGAUGCAGUGGCUCUUCGGAGUUUACUUGCGCUUUCUCUUUCAGGCUUGGGUAGUACGGGGGCAACCUCGCUCUACUCUGUUACUUUGAGCAAAUUGGAGUGCUCCAACCAGGCUAUAGCUUGAACAGCUCAGCAUGGAAUAACGAGAUAGGACUUCGGUUCUUCUUGUUGGUGUCAUGAACCGAAAGUAAUGGUUGAUAAGGACAUACGGGGGCAUUUGUACUUGCUGGAGAGAGGUGAAAUUCUAAGACCCAG